rnacentral:lncRNA from 10 species
CUUCAGGAGACAAACAGGAGUCACUGUGGUGAUGCCACUUCCCCUUGUGUUUUAGCCACCACUGGGGUAGUUCCUGCCACAACUGUUGCCCCUGGCCGUUCCAAGACAGAGGCCACCACUUUCCUAGGAGUAAGUGGAACAACAAGUGUUGGAAGAGCCACGGGUAUUACUGUUGUAGUCUCUGGAAAAACACUGAAACCUGGAAGUUACAAGACAGGCAAGUCUGAAAAUACAUGCAAAACCUGGACAUGGGCACCUUUGUUGACAUACUCUGCCCACAGCACCAUGUGUACUCUCUCAAAAACUAGUCUUCACUCCUUCCUUUCUUUUCUCUCUCUCUCAGGGGCCACAACUUCCAUGGUAGGGGGUGACACCAGCCAAGCAGAACGUCCAGGAGAUACUUCUGGUGAAUUCCCAGGAACAACCAUUACAUCUGGAGAUUCCCACACAGAGACCACAGCUGUGACAGGAAGCAGGGGCAGUAUUGGAACUGAAUCCAUAGCAGGUGAGGAGCAGGCCAUGAUUUGGGAGUUAUUUGAAUUACGACUUUUAUUAUUAUGACUUGUUUAGAAGUGAACUUUCCUGCAGAACAUUGUGCAUUUUUUUUUUUAGGGAAAAUGAAUCUAAGCCUGAAGAACUUUUUUUUACAUUUAAUGUUUUUUUUUUUUUUUUUUUUUUUUUUUAAAUACACACAAACUACCAAUAGUGUCUUUUGAAUGUGAUGCCUCUUGAAUUUGUUUUGAGAAAUUUCUCCUAU